UUUGAAAGAGUUUUUUGACGCACAUGUUCUUGUCAUGGUGAGAAUAUCGAUAUGCAUGACGAAUAUGGAUACAAAACAUAGAAAAGAACUGCCCUGAAAACCAAACAUGGAAGAUAGAUAAACAAGACAAAAGAGGGAAAAA